GGGUCUUUCCUGCGUUACCGAGAGCCUCCUCCUCCGUUUUCCGCAUUUGGGGUGAAGUUUGACCCACGCAGGCCACGCGCCUGUUCCUCUCAGCAGUAGAAACCCCAAUGGCAGGCUGAGGUCCCCAUCUGCAAAGGCCUCCGAGCUCCUCUGAACGGACGAGGAGGUAUUUCUUCAGCCAGCGACAAGUGGUCUUUAAGGUAAAAGUCAAGCUUUAACCUUACACGUGCCUGUUCUUUCUCAUUUGAUUUCUUUCUCGUUUAAUAUCCUUAGGCUGAUAAAUUUAAGACGUUUUGUAUUGUCAUCAGGCAGAAAUGCCUUCUGUCCUUUCUGUCCUGAACGGCUCUUUAUCAUGUGUUUAAGAUGAUAAAUGACUCCCCCUUUUUCUCUCUUCUCCCGAGAGCCUGAAUCUUUGAUCUCUGGGACUAAAAGCUGACAAAGGGAAACCGCUAUGCGAACAGGGAGGCCGGAGGGUUCGUCCCCAAGCGGUUCUGGCGCGAGCUUCAUCCCGCAGCAGCGAUCUUGGCCGGCGAUCCGGGGGAAGAGCCGCAGCCGUCGCCAGUCGGACUCGCAGACCUCUCUGCGGCGCGGGGGGCUGCGCAGGAGGAUGCUCGACCCCCGGCGUGAAACCAGUUUCCCCAGCUCCCGGACGGACCCAGGCAAUCCGGCGGAGGGGAGGCGGAAAGUGCACAGCGGAGACGUGCCCCCAGCGCCCCGGCGAGGAGGAAGCAAGCUGUAGCUGCACAGAAAAACUCCAAAACCUGCCAAGUCAAGACCUUCUCAAAUCCGGAGGAAGGUGGAAAGAAUCCAAAUUCACCACUCGCAAAAGAAAAAUGAACCCCGGUUUUAAAAACGCAGCCGGGCAGGCGAGCUGCGUGCCCGCUUGGCCGUUCGCCGCCG